GGCGCCGCCAUCGCCUCGGUGCUGGUUGUGCUGGUGGAGAGGCGCAGGUGGCUGAGCCAGUGCUGCCCUGUGAGCUCCCUCCCCGCAGGAGCCUCUGCAGGACCCCCGACUCGUCAGAAGCUGGGAAGGGUGUAGCCCUGCAGCCUGCUACAUGCUUCCCAGGCGGGAGAACACCAACACACCUUCAGUGUUGGUGUCCUUUGAAGAUGUGGCUGUGGACUUUACCCAGGAAGAAUGGCAGACAAUGGACAAUACGCAGAGGACCCUGUACAAGGAGGUGAUGCUUGAGACCUAUAACAAUCUGCUGUCCUUGGG